UGGCGGCAGGCCUAACACAUGCAAGUCGAACGGUAGCACAGNAGNAGCUUGCUCUCGGGUGACGAGUGGCGGACGGGUGAGUAAUGUCUGGGAAACUGCCUGAUGGAGGGGGAUAACUACUGGAAACGGUAGCUAAUACCGCAUAACGUCGCAAGACCAAAGAGGGGGACCUUCGGGCCUCUUGCCAUCAGAUGUGCCCAGAUGGGAUUAGCUAGUAGGUGGGGUAACGGCUCACCUAGGCGACGAUCCCUAGCUGGUCUGAGAGGAUGACCAGCCACACUGGAACUGAGACACGGUCCAGACUCCUACGGGAGGCAGCAGUGGGGAAUAUUGCACAAUGGGCGCAAGCCUGAUGCAGCCAUGCCGCGUGUAUGAAGAAGGCCUUCGGGUUGUAAAGUACUUUCAGCGGGGAGGAAGGCGAUAAGGUUAAUAACCUUGUCGAUUGACGUUACCCGCANAAGAAGCACCGGCUAACUCCGUGCCAGCAGCCGCGGUAAUACGGAGGGUGCAAGCGUUAAUCGGAAUUACUGGGCGUAAAGCGCACGCAGGCGGUCUGUCAAGUCGGAUGUGAAAUCCCCGGGCUCAACCUGGGAACUGCAUUCGAAACUGGCAGGCUGGAGUCUUGUANAGGGGGGUANAAUUCCAGGUGUANCGGUGAAAUGCNUAAAGAUCUGGAGGAAUACCGGUGGCGAANGCNGCCCCCUGGACAAANACUGACCCUCANGUNCNAAANCNUGGGAACCAACAGNAUUAAAUACCCUGGUANUCCCCCUUUAACNAUNUCNACUNGANGUUNUCCNUUANGAAUNCUUCCGAACUACCCNUUAAUCACCCCUGGGAUCCGCCCAGNUNAACUAAUAAUUACGGGCCCCCACCGNGACUUNUU
rnacentral:rRNA from 1 species